GGAUGCUUUGAGGUGGUUUUGGGAUCCCAAGGAUGGUUCGGGGCAAUUUUGGGGAUGCCUUCAGAGGGUUCUGUGAUCCUGACAGCAGUUUAGGGUAGUUUUGGGGUCCUGGGGAGACUUUGGGCUGGUUUUGGUGUCCCAAGGGUCGUUUGGGCCCGUUUUAGGGUCCUGGAAACACUUUGGGAACCCAAGGACAGUUUGACACAAUUUUGAGGAUGCUU